GAUGAAGAACGUAGUGAAAUGCGAUAAGUAAUGUGAAUUGCAGAACUCAGUGAAUCAUCGAAUCUUUGAACGCACAUUGCGCCCGCCAGUAUUCUGGCGGGCAUGCCUGUUCGAGCGUCAUUUCAACCAUCAAGCCCCAGCGCUUGUGUUGGGGGCCUGCGGCUGCCGCAGCCCCCUAAAAGCAGUGGCGGGCUCGCUAUCACACCGAGUGCAGUAGUUCAUCUUCUCUCCGGUCUUGUGAGGCGGGUUCCGGCCGUGAAACACCCCACUACAUUCAAGGUUGACCUCGGAUCAGGUAGGAAUACCCGCUGAACUUAAGCAUAUCAAUAAGCGGAGGA
rnacentral:misc_RNA from 1 species